CGGCGUGCUUCAUACAUGCAAGUCGAACGAUAAGGUCUCUUCGGAGAUACAUAAGUGGCGGACGGGUGAGUAAUAUGUAGAGAAUCUGCCCCAGAGCGUGGGAUAACAGAUGGAAACAUCUGCUAAAACCGCAUAUGAGCGUAGCUGAAAUGCUAUUCUUGAAAACUCCGGUGCUCUGGGAUGAGUCUGCAUCUGAUUAGCUAGUUGGGGGUGUAAUGGACCACCAAGGCGACGAUCAGUAGCUGGUUUGAGAGGAUGAUCAGCCACAAUGGGACUGAGACACGGCCCAUACUCCUAACGGGAGGCAGGCAGUAGGGAAUUUUGCGCAAUGGGCGAAAGCCUUGACGCAGCAACGCCGCGUGACCGAUGAAGCCCUUCGGGGUGUAAAGGUCUGUCAGUGGGGACGAAACUUGACGGUACCCACAGAGGAAGCAUCGGCUAACUCCGUGCCAGCCGCCGC
rnacentral:rRNA from 1 species